rnacentral:rRNA from 1 species
AGCGAGCAUGCGAGUGUGAGCGAAUCUCAAAAAUAACGUCUCAGUUCGGAUUGUAGUCUGCAACUCGACUACAUGAAGCUGGAAUCGCUAGUAAUCGCGGAUCAGAAUGCCGCGGUGAAUACGUUCCCGGGUCUUGUACACACCGCCCGUCACACCAUGGGAGUCAGUAACGCCCGAAGCCGGUGACCCAACCUAAACAGGAGGGAGCCGUCGAAGGCGGGACGGAUGACUGGGGUGAAGUCGUAACAAGGUAAC